rnacentral:misc_RNA from 1 species
GAUGAAGAACGCAGCGAAAUGCGAUAAGUAGUGUGAAUUGCAGACUUUAGUGAAUCAUCGAAUCUUUGAACGCACAUUGCGCCCGCCAGCACUCUGGCGGGCAUGCCUGUUCGAGCGUCAUUUCAACCAUCAAGCCCCCAGGGGCUUGUGCUGGGGCCCUGCGGCUGCCCGCAGGCCCUGAAAACCAGUGGCGGGCUCGCUAGUCACACCGAGCGCAGUAGCACAUCUCGCUCAGGGCGUGCGGCGGGCUCCUGCCGUGAAACCCCCCACUGUAACCCCAAAGGUUGACCUCGGAUCAGGUAGGAAUACCCGCUGAACUUAAGCAUAUCAAUAAGCGGAGGA